ensembl:lncRNA
CUCAGGUUAAUAAGGAGAAAAAAACAGAUGUGAAAUUGCAAUAUAGAAAUGUCCAUUCAAUCUAGAUGGUAGUGCAGCUCUUGCAGUGUGGUGGAGCUUUAAGGAAGGCUGAUGGAUGACUGCUUCUUUUCGAAGCAACAAGAUUAGAAAUGGCUGCUCUACUUCUGUCUGAUGUAAGAGCACAGGCCCAGGAUGACUGCUCAGGAUCUUCUUGCAGGAGUGUGACCUCUGUAUGACUUGAGACAAAUUGUGACAGUUCAUGGAUUGCUGCAUUUCCCCUCAUGUAUCAUUCAUGAUGUCAGCUCCCCUUUUAUCCUUCCGCUCUGUUCACUUAGCAUCAUGGCUGUGGGAAGCAAUCUCAACUGAAGUACCACUGAGCACCUUCAGAGAGAUAAUGCCUUUCUUAUUCUUCCAAGAAGAGUCUGAAGUGUCCUUGGGAGUGGCAUCGUUCACAGGUGGAAGUAUUUGUGAAGAUUUUGAAGUCAAGGAUUCAAAGUCAUGUGGAUGGAGCACACCAAGUGCCUGGGGUUUUAUUGCUUCGUGGCUUCGGGAUUGUUCACAGCUCCUCAGUUCUACUUUUAUUGACAGGCUCUUCUUUUCACCUUGCUGUGUUUGAACAGAGUGUACCUUUUUGUUACAUAUCACUGUUUUAACACCAUAUGUUGUAGAACAGCAAUUAGACUCGCUGGAAUGCAUCGACAUCCCUUCCUGAAGUGGUAUCAGUGAUGGUGGCAUCUACACUUAACUUGUUUUCUGGUUUCGACUGAUAUCUUGUGGUCUUGGCUUCUUGACCUGCACUUCUGUCAAUAGGUGGCAACAUGUCUAAGCAGAACAGACACUUGGAAGUUUUGUUUGCCUUAAAGUGCUUGACUUGUUUUUGCAGCUGAAAGCAGGCAAGUGGAUCAGUUCUAUCCCAGCCGUGCACCUGGUCAUAGAGAAACAGUAGAUCUAAGGCAGCCCAGAGCACUGCAAGGAGAAAAAUGUAGAGGAAAUAGUGUUUGCUGAUGUAAAUAAGCUGCCACUUUGUGCUGGAAACAAGCAGUUAGGUUGGAUAUUAGGAAAAAUUCUUCUCCAAAAGAUUGGGAGGUGGUGGGGUCACCAUCCCUGGAGGAGUUCAAGAAGGGUUUAAGUGUGGUACUGAAGGACAUGGCUUAGUGGGAAACAUCAGUGGCAGGUAAAUGGUUGGACUGGGUCAUCUUGGAGGUCUUUUCAACCUCGGCGAUUCUGUGGUUCUGUGAAUCCUUUUCAAAAGAACACAACUAUUUCUAUGAGAAAAAAAAAUACUAUAAACGGAAUGGUCCUUUUCACUUCCAAAGAACAAGUUAGGUCUCUUUUAUUUUUAUUUAUUUAUUGAUUGCUUUUCCACUGCAGUCUUAACUGGGGCUUUUUUUAGUCCCCACACUUUCCCAAAGCCUUAAAGCCAAUCACAGAGUCUGGAGAGGUGGUUAAUGCUUACCUAAUAAAAUUGCAUUGAGCUCCAUCAGGGCACACAGAAGGCAGACUCACAAGGUCACGAACUGAAGUAAACUCUUACAACUCCAUUUUCUUGUUAUUAUGGUAGGUUUCUUUGGAUCCCGAUAUUUAAAGUAAAAUAUGUAUAUUCAAAUCCAAACCCCCCAACCGCAGAGUAACCCUUCUCUGUCACCUCUCUGUUCAUCAGAACAUGCAGUCCUUUGGAAAUCAUUCACUUACCCCUCAGAUCAAACAUCCUGGAUAAACUCUUGUGCAUCAUACAGCUUACGUCUUCGUAGAUAAAGAGCACACGUCCUGGUUAGAUGAGGAUAAUAAUUGGUAUAAAGGAUCAAUAUCUUUAUUGAUUCUUUAAUACAAUACUUAACACUUUUUAGAUGCAGCACCGGCAUAUGCCUUAAAUCUGAUCUGGCAUUUCUCUGAGAUUUCAGAUGUUUUCACAGGGAAAAUUCAUUAUGCCUGCCAAAGCAGUGUAGGGAG